rnacentral:rRNA from 1 species
UACAGAGGUCUCAAGCGUUGUUCGGAUUCAUUGGGCGUAAAGGGUGCGUAGGUGGCGCCGUAAGUCGGGUGUGAAAUUUCGGAGCUUAACUCCGAAACUGCAUUCGAUACUGCGGUGCUUGAGGACUGGAGAGGAGACUGGAAUUCAUGGUGUAGCAGUGAAAUGCGUAGAGAUCAUGAGGAAGACCAGUGGCGAAGGCGGGUCUCUGGACAGUUCCUGACACUGAGGCACGAAGGCCAGGGGGAGCAAACGGGG